rnacentral:rRNA from 1 species
CAGUCGAGCGAUGAACCUCCUUCGGGAGGGGAUUAGUGGCGAACGGGUGAGUAACACGUGGGCAAUCUGCCCUGCACUCUGGGACAAGCCCUGGAAACGGGGUCUAAUACCGGAUACUGACCCGCUUGGGCAUCCAAGCGGUUCGAAAGCUCCGGCGGUGCAGGAUGAGCCCGCGGCCUAUCAGCUUGUUGGUGAGGUAAUGGCUCACCAAGGCGACGACGGGUAGCCGGCCUGAGAGGGCGACCGGCCACACUGGGACUGAGACACGGCCCAGACUCCUACGGGAGGCAGCAGUGGGGAAUAUUGCACAAUGGGCGAAAGCCUGAUGCAGCGACGCCGCGUGAGGGAUGACGGCCUUCGGGUUGUAAACCUCUUUCAGCAGGGAAGAAGCGAAAGUGACGGUACCUGCAAAAGAAGCGCCGGCUAACUACGUGCCAGCAGCCGCGGUAAUACGUAGGGCGCGAGCGUUGUCCGGAAUUAUUGGGCGUAAAGAGCUCGUAGGCGGCUUGUCACGUCGGUUGUGAAAGCCCGGGGCUUAACCCCGGGUCUGCAGUCGAUACGGGCAGGCUAGAGUUCGGUAGGGGAGAUCGGAAUUCCUGGUGUAGCGGUGAAAUGCGCAGAUAUCAGGAGGAACACCGGUGGCGAAGGCGGAUCUCUGGGCCGAUACUGACGCUGAGGAGCGAAAGCGUGGGGAGCGAACAGGAUUAGAUACCCUGGUAGUCCACGCCGUAAACGGUGGGCACUAGGUGUGGGCGACAUUCCACGUCGUCCGUGCCGCAGCUAACGCAUUAAGUGCCCCGCCUGGAGAGUACGGCCGCAAGGCUAACACUCAAAGGAAUUGACGGGGGCCCGCACAAGCGGCGGAGCAUGUGGCUUAAUUCGACGCAACGCGAAGAACCUUACCAAGGCUUGACAUACACCGGAAAGCAUCAGAGAUGGUGCCCCCCUUGUGGUCGGUGUACAGGUGGUGCAUGGCUGUCGUCAGCUCGUGUCGGGAGAUG